rnacentral:rRNA from 1 species
GCGCUAUCAGAUGAGCCUAGGUCGGAUUAGCUAGUUGGUGAGGUAAUGGCUCACCAAGGCUACGAUCCGUAACUGGUCUGAGAGGAUGAUCAGUCACACUGGAAGUGAGACACGGUCCAGACUCCUACGGGAGGCAGCAGUGGGGAAUAUUGGACAAUGGGCGAAAGCCUGAUCCAAAAGGGCCGCGUGUGUGAAGAAGGUCUUCGGAUUGUAAAUUAAUGGAGUUGGGAGGAAGGGCAUUAACCUAAUACGUUA